GGCCGGGGAUGAGUGCUGGCAUGUAUUAGCUGAGCUGAGCUGAUGUCUCUCACCGCUUUAGCUCUAGAAUUACUCUGAGGCCCA
ensembl:snoRNA